CUAUACAUGCAAGUCGAGCGGACAGAUGGGAGCUUGCUCCCUGAUGUUAGCGGCGGACGGGUGAGUAACACGUGGGUAACCUGCCUGUAAGACUGGGAUAACUCCGGGAAACCGGGGCUAAUACCGGAUGGUUGUUUGAACCGCAUGGUUCAGACAUAAAAGGUGGCUUCGGCUACCACUUACAGAUGGACCCGCGGCGCAUUAGCUAGUUGGUGAGGUAACGGCUCACCAAGGCAACGAUGCGUAGCCGACCUGAGAGGGUGAUCGGCCACACUGGGACUGAGACACGGCCCAGACUCCUACGGGAGGCAGCAGUAGGGAAUCUUCCGCAAUGGACGAAAGUCUGACGGAGCAACGCCGCGUGAGUGAUGAAGGUUUUCGGAUCGUAAAGCUCUGUUGUUAGGGAAGAACAAGUGCCGUUCAAAUAGGGCGGCACCUUGACGGUACCUAACCAGAAAGCCACGGCUAACUACGUGCCAGCAGCCGCGGUAAUACGUAGGUGGCAAGCGUUGUCCGGAAUUAUUGGGCGUAAAGGGCUCGCAGGCGGUUUCUUAAGUCUGAUGUGAAAGCCCCCGGCUCAACCGGGGAGGGUCAUUGGAAACUGGGGAACUUGAGUGCAGAAGAGG
rnacentral:rRNA from 1 species